rnacentral:lncRNA from 8 species
UUCUCAGGAGGGAGACUGGAGGAGGCCAGACCACGUUGUUGGCUUGGUGUCAAAGUGUUUGGGAAUGAGUUGAGCGUGGUGACCUGUGCUGACCUCUACUCUCAGAUAAAGGAGCUGUCACUCAGCAUGGCUGGGCUUGCCGUCAGACUGCUGAAGGGUCAGGGGGUGCAGCUCCACCACAGGGCAGUGUUGAUGACAGAGGAGUUGGUCCUGCCCUCUCUGUCAGGCUUACCCAUUAGACUGGGCAUCAACAUGACCUCCCUCCUCUCCCUGCACCUCAAGGGCAGUGCCAACUACAGAGACUGGUCACACUUCUCACUGGCAGGUCACAUCAAGCCCAAGUAAGUCGGUAUCCAUUUUGGAUCUGACGGCCUCUUAAUUUUCUUAUCCCUGGUUAGUGUUUCACCAAUGACUGCGUUUCAGCCAAACAGAGGUCACCACUUAGUGGCACAUUAAGAAUUUGAAAUAAUAAAGUAAUUUUUGUGAAGAUCUCUGUACUUUUGCACACUGUGGGAAUGUCCCUCAGUUUCUUUCUCAUAUAAUGGUAUUUUUAUCUUCUCACAGUGCCUAUGUGGGCCUGUCAGCCCGGAUGGGGGUGGACGGGGUCCUGGGUCGGGCUGGGGUGGAGUGGGCCACAGAGCUCAGGACCUCCAGCAGUCUGGAUGGGAGUGUGCAUCUCCAGGAGGGCCACGGCCUGAGAGUGGCCCUCAACACACCUGAAGACCUCAUGGAUAUAGUCUCUCUCAGCUCCAGAAUGUACCAUGUAAACGGAGACCACCGAGAGGAGAUGAGAGGCCCCAAGAGUCGUGUAGAGAGGACCAUCUGCACGCCAAAGACCUGGUCUAAGAUGGUGGGGUGGCAGCUGUGCUCCAAUGUCUCUUACCCUUUAUCCUCUACGGGGCUUACCUUCCUCCCUCCCGGUCCUGUGCACCUCUCCCUCAGGCUACUGAAGCUAGACAGAGGCCUUCACCAGUACCUACUAGAGGCAGCAUACUCUUUGUUGACACAGGUACUGUCAAUCCAACCUAUUAACCUGCUAAAUGUCCUGCUAAUUGUCCUGCUUUGUUACAAGAGGCUAUCUAAUAACACUUUGUUAACCUUUGGCAUAGGUGCCAUGGAAAUUACACAGACCUGUGUUCAAAUAGUAUUUGAGAUUUCAAUCUGUGCUUUAUUGAGCUUGCCUGGCACAAUGGAACAAAUGGAGUAG